rnacentral:rRNA from 1 species
AUUGAACGCUGGCGGAAUACUUUACACAUGCAAGUCGAGCGGCAGCGCGGCCUUCGGGCUGGCGGCGAGCGGCGAACGGGUGAGUAAUGCAUCGGAACAUGCCCAGUCGUGGGGGAUAACACUUCGAAAGAAGUGCUAAUACCGCAUACGUCCUGAGGGGGAAAGCGGGGGAUCGCAAGACCUCGCGCGAUUGGAGUGGCCGAUGUCAGAUUAGCUAGUUGGUGGGGUAAAGGCCUACCAAGGCGACGAUCUGUAGCUGGUCUGAGAGGAUGAUCAGCCACACUGGGACUGAGACACGGCCCAGACUCCUACGGGAGGCAGCAGUGGGGAAUUUUGGACAAUGGGGGCAACCCUGAUCCAGCCAUUCCGCGUGAGUGAAGAAGGCCUUCGGGUUGUAAAGCUCUUUCGGCAGGAACGAAACGGUGGGCUCUAACAUAGUCCGCUAAUGACGGUACCUGAAGAAGAAGCACCGGCUAACUACGUG